rnacentral:rRNA from 1 species
AGUAUUGUAUUUGAUAUGUAAUGUAAUAUUUGAUCGCUUAUGCGAUCUUAAGUAUAUAAAGAAACUAUUACGGAAAUAAGAGCUAUAUAUCAUAGGAAUGAUUAUUGGGAUGCCCUAUAAAUCCUUGGAAAAAUCCAGUAUCAAACGAAGUGAAUUGAAAUAUCUUAUUAGCUUCAGGAAUAAAAAUCACAAGAGAUUCUUAUAUCAAUUAAAAACUGAUAUGGGAAAAGCCUUUAAAGUAAAAUGGAAUAAUAUUCUGUUUGAAUAUAGGGAAACCUUUCUCUAAGGCUAAAUAUGAUAUAUAAGCGACAGCGUAUAAGUAGCGUGAGGGAAAUAUUUGAAAUAGUAGUUUUAUAAGCAGCUCAAGUUAAAAAUAAGUAGAUAAUUAGAGCGUACCUUUUGCAUAAUGGGUCAGCAAGUUAAUGUUAGAUGCGAGAUAUGUAAUUAUUAUUAAAUAAAGUAAUUAAUACAGCUAACUGUAUGAUGAAAUAGAAUAUUUAAUAAAAAAACAAAUAUCCCAGAUAAACCAAUUAUUAAAUAAUGAACGAGUAUCUAAUAUUAGACCCGAAGCCUAGUGAUCUUACCAUGAUCAGGGUUAUAAAAGCCCGAAUGGCUUAUCGUUGUAAAGAUAUCCAAAGAAUUGUGGUAAGUUAGUGAAAGACAAACCUGACUAGGAUAGCUGGUUUUCUGCGAAACCUAUAUAAGUAGGUGGUUUAAAUAACAUCAUUGCAGGUACAGAAUUGUAAUCCCAGGCAAACUAUAACUUUAUUUAUUCCUUUUAAGGGUAAAAAAAGUUAGUUUGCAUACAUUGGGGGGUCGUGAAGACUCUAUCAGUGGGAAUUUGCUCUCGGAAGGGCAGUGAUGGAUUUUGAACUCUCGGACAUAGUACGAUAAGGUUGUAUGUCUAAAGGGAAACAGCCCAGAACAAGAAUUAAAGGUUCCAAAAUUAUUGUUAAGUGAAAUUAAGGAAGUUUUUUUCGUAUACAACCAGGAAAUAGGCUUAGAAGCGGCCAUUUUUUGAAGACCUCGUAACAGAGCACUGGUUUAUUUCAAAUAAAGUUAAAAGCACCGAAAAUUUAACGGAUCUAAACAAUAUACCGAAAUCUUGUCCACAAAUAAGUUGUAUAAUUUACCAUAUAUAUAAACUUGUGGGGUAGCAGAACGUUGGGUAUAUCUUGGACUGAAUAUUUGUAAUAUUCAGUAAAACAGCUUUAGCUGGUUAAGACAAUCCCAAGUGAGAAUGCUGGCAUGAGUAACGAAAAAGGGGAAUCCCCUCGCCUUAAGCUUAUGGUAUUUUAAUUAAAGUAACGGCCCCUAAAUUUAUUGAACUGCCCUAAAGGAUUAAAUGAUGGGAAAAUCUUUGCAUUUAUCUAACAACACUUUGCCUCCUGAUCAGCAGCAGCAGACAGGAGAUGAGUUCAAAAUGUUCUGGAAAAAGAUUUAUGCAUGUAACCGUACCUAGAUACUACCACAAGUAAGCAAGUAGAGAAUACAAAGGCGUUUGAGAUAACAAUCAUCAAGGAACUCGGCAAAUUGACACCGUAACUUCGGGAUAAGGUGUGCCAUUAUUCCUAAAUUAUAUUAGGUAAAUAAUAGGAGACAUAAAAUGGUGUUGUACGACUGUUUAAUUAAAACAAAGCACUUUGCAUAAGAUGUCAAAUCAAAGUAUUGAGUGUGAUUUCUGCCCGAUGUUGGCUGGUUAACGGAUUUUCUUAGCUAACUUUUAUAGGCUAGGUUUUGAAGGAUACCCCAAUCAAUGGCGGCCUUACCGAUGAGGGUCCUAAGGUAGCGGAAUACCCUGGCCGUUAAAUGCGGUCUUGCAUGAAUGAUUUAACGAUACAACAGCUGUCUCGAUGAUUGUCUCAGUGAAAUUGGAAUAACUGUGCAGAUACAGUUUACCUCUAGUUAGACGAGAAGACCCUAUGCAGCUUUACUGUUACUAGUAAUUGAAUAUGAUCAAACAAGUUGUAGUGUAUAAGGUAGUUGAUGAGAUAAAAUUGAAACACCUUUACUUAGCUUAUCAUAUUAUUAGAAACUUGUUGAAAGCGGGUGCUUGGUGGAGUUAUGGCAUUAGGUUAUAACAAAACCAUUUACACGUUAGUAUAAAACUUAAAGUAACUUAUCUAUAAGAAAAAAAGCGUAUAUAUGUACGUUAAAGAGACAUUUGCUAGUAGAUAGUUUAUGCGGGGCACAGAUCCCAUAAAAAGUACCUGGGUGUAUCCAAAGUUAAUUUUGUAAAUUUCUAAGUUAUGUUUGUUCUUUUUUUUUUUUAAAGGAAUAAUGCAAAUAUAAUUUACUACUAAAUAUGUAAUGUUUUUUACCAUUGUUAAAUAACAUAUCAUGUUUAUAUUUUAGUUUGCAAUAUUUUAUAAAAUAAUUUAUUCAAUUAUUUUUCUAUUAAGUUAGAUUUUCUAUAAUUUUUAAGUAAGAUUUUAACUAUAUGGAAAAUAGAUGUUGAAAUAAUAUCAAUUGCUAUGGUAUAAUAACUUAAUUAAAUCACACACAUAGGCAGUGUUAUUACUACUUGUUUUAUUACCUGCUCCGCAGGUAAUAGAAUGAUUUUUAUUCAACUUUAAAAGUUUAAUGGCUUAAUCUUGCUUUACUGUUUGACUUACAAGUCUAUCAGUCGCGUAAGCGGGGCAUAUGAUCACAAGAUGCAGAAAGGAAAGGUCUUGGAUUUUUGAAAAAGCUACGCUAGGGAUAACAGGCUAAUUGCGCCAGAGAGUACAAAUUGAGUGCGCAGUUUGGCACCUCGAUGUCGACUUAGCUCAUCCACAUGAAUGCAGGAGUCAUGAAGGGUUCGACUGUUCGUCGAUUAAAGAGCUACACGAGUUGGGUUAAAUACGUCGUGAGACAGUAUGGUUUCUAUCUU